CGUCUCAGGGAGAGGAGGGGGAUUAAUAUGAUUGGUUAGAAUUAACGUCACUCACGCGCGCUGCUGAGACGGAGCGAAAUGCCUCAGAAAGACUCUGCGGGCUGCGGGAUGAGGAGGGUCGAUGUUUAUUAGACUGACCGUCUGAAGAGAGAUGGAGACCAUCAGGAAAGAGGAGCGUGUUUAGUUGAGUUGCGGUAAACAGCACCAUCUAGAGGUGAAUACGAGACAUGCGCUUAUCUCUCAUCUCAUACCAGAGCUGAAGUGGGACAACACUCUUGUCGAGGAUUCAGUGUUCCAUCCAGUUCCUUGAUGACAUCAUCCUACAAGAAGUGACAUCAUUUUGGAG
ensembl:lncRNA